AUUGAACGCUGGCGGCAGGCCUAACACAUGCAAGUCGAGCGGAGCGGCGGACGGGUGAGUAAUGCCUAGGAAUCUGCCUGGUAGUGGGGGAUAACGUCCGGAAACGGGCGCUAAUACCGCAUACUAUCAGAUGAGCCUAGGUCGGAUUAGCUAGUUGGGGGGGUAAAGGCCUACCAAGGCGACGAUCAGUAACUGGUCUGAGAGGAAGACCAGUCACACGGGAACGGAGAAGCGGUCCAGACUCCUACGGGAGGCAGCAGGGGGGAAUAUUGGACAAUGGGCGAAAGCCUGAUCCAGAAAUGCCGCGUGUGUGAAGAAGGUCUUCGGAUUGUAAAACACUUUAAGUUGGGAGGCGUUACCAGCAGAAUAAGCACCGGCUAACUUCGUGCCAGCAGCCGCGGUAAUUC
rnacentral:rRNA from 1 species